rnacentral:rRNA from 1 species
CCUACGGGCGGCAGCAGUGGGGAAUAUUGCGCAAUGGGCGAAAGCCUGACGCAGCGACGCCGCGUGAGGGAUGAAGGUCUUCGGAUCGUAAACCUCUGUCAGCAGGGAAGAACGGUCACUGUGCUAAUCAGCAGUGAAUUGACGGUACCUGCAAAGGAAGCACCGGCUAACUCCGUGCCAGCAGCCGCGGUAAUACGGAGGGUGCAAGCGUUAAUCGGAAUUACUGGGCGUAAAGCGCUCGUAGGCGGUAUGUCAAGUCAAGGGUGAAAUCCCCGGGCUCAACGUGGGAACUGCCUUUGAAACUGGCAAACUGGAGUGUGUGAGAGGAUAGUGGAAUUCCAGGUGUAGGAGUGAAAUGCGUAGAGAUCUGGAGGAACAUCAGUGGCGAAGGCGACUAUCUGGCACAUAACUGACGCUGAGGAGCGAAAGCGUGGGUAGCAAACAGGAUUAGAUACCCUGGUAGUC